GUGUGCAGAUCACAUGGCAAGAGAGGAAGCAAGAGAGAUGGGGAAGGUGCCAGGCUCUUUUUAACAACCAGCUCUCAGGGAAAUUCUCAUGGGAAUUAAUAGAGCAAGAAUUCACUUAUUACCAUGAGGACAGCACCAAGCCAUUCAUGAGGGAUCCACCCCCAUAACCUUAGCACCUCCUGUUUGGCCUGGAUUCCAACACUGGGGAUCAAAUUUCAACAUUAGGCUUAGAGGGUCAAAUAUCCAAACUACAGCUCUACCCUAAGGGUAGAGCUCAGUGACUGGGAAGGGUAGAUAAAGGAAUUCCGCUAAGGCACUGUUUUCCCAGCAGGCAGUGUGCAGCGUCAGCUUAGGGCCCUGAAGGCAGGGCACAGCCACUACUGGGAGAUGUAUAUGGAGCUGUUCUGCCAAAGCAAGGUUUCCCCAGCGGGGAUUGCACAGCUUUAGCUUUAGCUCCAGACGAGGGGGCAGAAGGAGGAGCAGGUAGAGUGGUUCCACUAUCACUUGGCCUCCAGGGAAGGGUGUAACAAUUGCUUACAGCUCAGCUUGUGGAUAUCAGGCCACAGAAUGGGGGUCGUUCCAUGGCAGCUUAACUUCAGGGAUGAAGGGACCCCCAUAGCUCCAUGCCCCUGGAGCAAGACGCACUCUAAUAUAGUUCCAGUUCCGAAAUGGCAUAACAGUAGCCAUGCAGGCCACUGGGGGUGGGACACUGUGUCCACUCCUUCUUUGCUAGGAGCACAGCUGUGUGGACUCCAGGCAGCUCCCUCAGCUCGACUUAAUGCCUGUGAGGACAGUAGAGACCCACUGGCAAGGUCUGUAGAUGUUCAAAGUGUGGAUGAGGUAGGCUAGGGUUCUCUUGCUCACCUUUCUGACAAUGGGAGAAAUUCCUCCUCGCUCCCAGCUGAUCCUGGCUGGGGGAUGGGAUGUAGGAGUUCCUGUGUUUCCUUCUGUUCUCUAUGUGGGUAUCCUAAGUUUCUGUGUUCAUUCAGGUUUCUGUUACUUCUUUAAGGAACUCUGCCACUCUGCUCUAGCUAUUUUUAUUAAAAUGUAGUUAUGUAUUCAUUGUUUUGUCUGUCUUUGUGGUGAGGACAUGUGCUAGGGGCUUCUAGUUAGCCAUCUUUCUGUCACUCAGCUAUCCUUUCUCUUUAAACACUUCUAUAGUGUUUGAAUUAAAAAAUGUAUAUUGACAAGCCAACAUGUCAUGUUGUCACUGUGUGGCGGUUAUCCCCUGGUUAUCUCUAUUCUACUUUCAGUCUCUAUAAAUUUGACAGUUUUAGGUCCCUUGUAUAAAUGAAAGCAUAUAAUAUUUGUUCUUUUGCUUAAACAUAAAUUCUUGCAUCUGUUCUUGGAGUCACAGGAAAAAAUAAGUUACCCAUACACCUUGGCCUCCAGCCACCUCUGGUUUGAAAGUACAGACAAUCCCCCAUUUAAACAAUGAUUGACUUACAAGUUUGCAACUUUAUAAUAGUGUGAAAGCAAUACUCACUCAGUAGAAAACAGACUCUGAAUCUUGACUUUUGCUUAAAAAUCAUUUAUAAUAAUGUUAUUAUAAAAUAGCUUUGUGUUAGAUGGUUUUGCCCAACUGUAAGCUAAUGUAAGUGUUCUAAGCAUGUUUAAAGUAGUUGAGGUUAAGCUAUGAUGUUUGGUAGGUUACGUAUGUUAAAUACACUUUCAACUUAAUGGUAUUUUCAACUUACAGUGAAUUUAUAAAGACAAAACUCCCUUGAAAAUUGAGGAGCAUCCAUAUUGGAAUCUUGUCUAAGAGUACCCUGCUAUGUGCUUUUCAUGCAUUACCUUCUACUAUCCUCCAUCUGUUGCUCCUGCAAACAUAUAUUGUCAGUUCCCUUCUUUGGAAUGUUAUGAUCUACGCCUGGCAUUCAACCACCUCAUUUUCCUCAGUGCAACUCGUCAUUCGACCCAGCGCAAGGACCACUGAUGUGCACAUAUGGAAUUGUUCUCAUUUCUCUAUGUCAUUUAGUAUAAUGGCACUCAUAUAACACAUCAUAUGCUGCCUUACAAAGAUAAUUUUAGUUUAGUUUUAAUCUUAUUAUUUGGUUGUAAUCUCCUUGUAGAACAAGAUCCAGUCUUUAUGCUAUGUGAUGGCCUUGCUUAGAGAUUUAGAUAUGAGAUGCAAUAAUUUUUUAAGAAGUUAAACAAUUGUCACAUUAAUUUGAUGCCUACUCUCUCUCUCCUCUCCCAGUCACCCUUCAUACUCAUUUCAGAUGCAGUAAAUUUGACACAAACAUAUAUAGGCUUCCUUAAUUGAGUUUUCUGGAAAAAAUUUUAAUAGUAAAAUAGAAAUUAUUUUACCUAAUUUACUCUUCAUAAUAUCAUAGAUAGAUAGAGAGUGAGAGAGAGAGAAAUUCAAAGACAUUUUUAUAACCCAUGCAUUCCAGGAGGCUAUAAUUAGUUAGAAGGACACAAUUUAUAUAUGUAAAACUAAUGCCAAGAUCAGAAGACUUUCCAAAAUUCUAUACUUGUAAAAUGCUUUAUGAUUUAUAAAGAGGAGGUAGAAGUAAUAAUUCUUAUUUUACUGUUUUUUCCCCAGAUAUUUAAUUAGGAGAAAUUACAAGUUAAGUGUCAAAUUUUCUUCAUGGGAACAGAUCUAAAACAGGCCAAUUUGGAGACAUUUGCAGAAAAACAGAGUUAUUAGAUAAUCUUUGUUAGCAUAAAUGGAAAAAGAACAUUGAGUAAAUAUCAUUAACCAAAUGACUGAGUGGGUAGUUAGUUUUGUAGCUAGUUUUCUAGAAUAUGUCCUAAUACCAUUAAAGUUUAUUUUAAAAACUUUAAAGCCUUAUAAUGCAAAUGGAAAAAUCAAGGCUCAAGGUCACCUAGUCAGUCAGGAGAGUGAAUUUUGACUUCAAGCUCUAAGUGUGUCUCAGUAGCCUCCACGCUCAGGCAUGAGUUAUGGAUGUGGACCCUGAACGCUGAAGUGGUUUAGGAAGGAGGGAGGUCAGUGAAGGUGGAGAGAUCAGAAGGUUGACUCUUCACUGAAUCUCAGUGUACAGAUGGCAUUUGGAUAAACAACAAAGAAAUUGACACUCAGGCACAUUAAGGCAGUGAUUCUCAAAGUGGGUUUGUUUCAGAAUCACCUGAACCACUUAUCAGCACCAGUUUCAAGGUCUCUCCACAAACUCUAAUCCAGUGGUCUGAGAAGAGGCUCUGGGCACCAGGGAUUUGAUUAAUCUCUUUAGGUGAUUAUGAAGGCUAGAGGUUAGGAGCCUGGUUAUCUCUCAUCUUGUAUCCUAAUCUUGUAUAGUAAGUGCCAAUACCAAGGACAUAACUAACAGCUGCUCUAAGGGCUUAAGUUUAAGAGAGGGAGAAAUAUUCAGAGACAACCUGUGCAUCCUGGCCCUCGUGCCUGGCAGCAUGGGAUACAUACAGGAGGUUUAUGCCACAGGGGGAAAUACAGGCUAGUAAUUUUAUUCCUUAUUUCCUAGACUUUCUUUAUAAAAACAGUGAUGAUUCUGUCUGCUAUUACGUACUUUAAAGAAACAAGCUAAUCUGCCAUAUUCCAGAUGCAUGGCCUUGGUCAGCUUCAACAAGCCUCAGAUUCUUGUGUAAGUAAAAGGAAGAGAGUGAUAUCUAACUCAAAUGAAAAUUGUGAGGAUCAAAAGUAAUAAUGUGUGAAAAAUGCCUAGGACAGAGUAUUAUUCAAAAUUAUUACCCUUCUUCCUCCCUACCACCAUUGUACAGUUUUUAGUUUUUAUAACAUCUAUAAAUAAAACCAAACUAUCCUAUCUCACUAUUCCAUCAAUCAACGACUUUCAGCCAAAGGCCACGAGAACGUGUGUGUAGGGCCUAUGACUCAUUGUAGGGAGGGAAAACACAAGCCAUGGGAAAUCUUGGGGCACCUCAGCAAGAGAGUGUUAGAAACAAUCUAUGGAAGGAUUUGGGUUUUGGUUGGGUGACUAGGGAAUGUGGGGAUUUGCUAUGUAUUGGAUGCUGUUUGCUGUCAGAAGGCAGGGACAAAUUUCUGGUUACAUAAAGAAAUGUCAGUCACUAAUUUUAACCAGAAAAGGGGGUAUUUGGUAUUUUAUGAGUGGCCCAAUGACCUUGUUUUUGUCUGUGCUUAGACAAAAGUGUGCAGUAGACUUGUUUUGUACCACUUUGUCAUGGCCUUAGAGUGAUCUUACUUGAGCUGCUCUCUUUUUUUCUUUCUCACAUCUGAAAUAAAAGAAAAUGUAGGAGCAAAGCUGAUAUAUAUUUGAAUUGUGGAAGGUGGAGAAGUGUUGAGACGUUGAACAUUUGUUGAGCAGUUUCUGUAUCCUACGUCAAGAUAAACUUCGAUCCUUCUGAGAAUCUCACAUGUAUAUUAUCUACAUAAGGUGGGAUUUGAAGCCAGAUCUAUCUGACUUUUAACCAUCAAAACUCCCAGUCUGGUGUGCUGUCACCUUAUUGAGCUGUGCUUUGGGCACCAUUAGAGCAUGCGAAUGAAUUCCUGCCUGUCUGUUGAAAUGGCCUGCCUUUGACUUUACUUAAAAUAGAAAACAUACUUUGAUCUAGAAUCAGGGAUUGGCGAUUUUUUUCCUAUGAAGAAUCGGAUAGUAAAUAUUUUUGGUUCUGUGGGCCAUAAAGUUUCUAGUAGGACUACCCAACUGGCAAUGUAGUGAAAGAGUGGCCAUAGAUCAUAUGUAAACAAAUAGGUGUAGUUAUGCUCCAAUAAAACUUUAUUUAUAAAAUCAGGUGGCAGGUGGAAUUGGGCCCUUUGGCUAUAGUUUGCAAACUUUUUAUCUAGAUGAUAAGUAAACAAAGAUCCCAAAUGAACUUGGGUUUUUAAAAAUGUGUUUAACACAUUUAAAGUUGCUUUGAAUAAGAAAAUAUGUGUAAUAAAUAUAAAAUAAAUAUGAACAAAUAGACACGUUGUGAGGUUUUGGUUUUUCAGGGAUUUAUUAAUUUAUUUAUAAUUUUUAAAAACGCUUAUUUCCAAACACAAUAGAGAAUCAGCAUGGUGCCUCAUGCCAUUUGCUUUUUCCAUCUGUAUAGUGACAACUGGAUCUUGUGAGGCCAAAGUGUUUAUUGAAUAGUUUUUCUGUCCUUCAGUCUAUCAGGCACCAUGCUUGGCCCUUCCUUUCAUUAUUCCUUAAAGGAUAACUCUUGUUUGCUAAACUGAAGCUCAAAGAUGCUGAACAAUUUGUCCUCGGUCAUCCAGAUAUUGUGGUAGAACUAGUGCUGAAACUCACCCUUUUUCCACUAUACCCUAUCCCUCAAUUUUUAUAAAUUAUUCAAUUGGUGCUCUGGGGCGUAAGAUCUUUGGACCAUCUUCUGAAUCAUCAAACUAAAAUGAUGUGAUCAGACUGAAUUUAGUGCAGAGUGUAUUUUGUUACAUUUAAAUUUUUUGAAAACUUAGAAUUAGAGGCUAAAUGUGGAAAUUAGAAUUCAGUACCAUAGUGUUGGAGGGCAUUGCAUAUUGAGCCUCAGCAUGCUAAUUUCCUUUUUAUAUAUUCCUCUUUCAGCAAAGCGUAGCAUAAUAACACCACCUGAAAACCAAGAUCAUCUACCACCACCGUGUCAGAUUGUCUCCACUGUAGCUUGACGGUAGAAAGAUGAGGGUACUUUCCACUGUGAACUGAGGUCAACACUUACUGACUCUGCCUCAAAUUCCACAUCAGAGUUAUUGCUGUAUUCUCAGUGACGAGCCCAAUACUUGG